UACGUAGGGAGCAAGCGUUGUCCGGAAUCAUUGGGCGUAAAGCGCGCGUAGGUGGCUUCGUAAGUCCGUUGUGAAAGUCAAAGGCUCAACCUUUGAAAGCCGAUGGAUACUGUGAAGCUAGAGUACGGAAGAGGCGAGUGGAAUUCCUGGUGUAGCGGUGGAAUGCGCAGAUAUCAGGAGGAACACCAAUAGCGAAGGCAGCUCGCUGGGACGUUACUGACACUGAGGCGCGAAAGCGUGGGGAGCGAACAGC
rnacentral:rRNA from 1 species